UUUUUUAUUGCUAACUAGCAUUUUGUGGUAUGGAUGUUCCGCAGUUGUUUACCCGCUCACUUGUUGAAGGACAUUUUGGUUGUUUCCAGUGGUUUUUUACUAUAACAAAUAGAGCUGCUAUGAAUAAUCCUGUGCAGGUUUUUGUGUGAGCAUAAGUAUUUAUUUCUCUGAGAUAACUGCCCAGGAGUACAAUUGCUGGGCUGUAUGAUAAAUGUAUGUUUAGGGUUUUAUGUUUGUUUGUUGCAUUUGUUUUGUUUUAGAAACUGCCAAGCUAUUCUCCAGAGUGGCCGUAAUGUUUUCUUUUUCAAGAUGUUUUCAGAAUCCAUCCAGCAGGCCAGUAUCCAAACUGAGCUGAUGCCCUCUCUCUCCUGGAUCACUUUACUUUUAUUUUUAUUUAUUUUUUGGUCUUUUUAGGGCCACACCUGAGGCAUAUGAAGGUUCCCAGGCCACGCCAAGAAAAGCCAGAUUCCUUACCAUGACCGGAAGAAUGUGCUUGUUCUCAGAUUUCAUUUCCAGUUACUCUCUCCUGGAGUUUCCUCUGUAGCUCAGCAGAAAGGGCCUGACUAGGCUCCAUGAGGAUGUAGGUUCCAUCCCUAGCCUCACUCAGUGGGUUAAGGAUCAGGCAUUCCCGUGAGCUGCGGUGUAGGUCACAGAUGCAGCUCGAAUCUGGCGUUGCUGUGACUGUGGGGUAGGCCAGCAGCUGUAGCUCCGAUUUGACCCCUAGCCUGGAAUUUCCAUAUGCCACACCUGUGGCCCUAAAAAGCAAAACCAAAACCAAUUACUCUCUCCAUCACUCACUCCUCUCCAGACAUGACAACAGCCCCCUUGCCCUGCCCUCCACUCUCGUCAGUUUCACAUCUGCUGCUCCCUCUGCCCGGAAUGUGCUUCCCACAUAUCUCAUUCCCACGAUCCUCAGGUCUGAAUUCAAACAUCCUUCUCAGGGAGACUUUCCUAGCCACCCUACCUCCUGACCAGUCUUCCUUGCUUUGUUCUUCUUCCGACCAUUAUCACCACCUAACACAUGUACAUGCUUCAUGUCUCACCCUCCAUCAGAAUCCAGGCACCGUAAGGGCAGAAGUUUGUGUCUAUUCUAUUCACCGCUUAAUCCUGUGUCUAGAAUAAUUCCUGGCACAUGUUCGGUGCUCACUGAACAUGUUUUAAGUGAAUGGAUGGACAGCUGAGUGAACAGUCACUAUCUAGAAAAAUAGGGUUGCCAGCAUCUCAGGUUUGUUCACAGCAUCCCUGGGUGGAGUACCAUUCGGAGCACAUUGAAAUGGAGGUCAGAACAAAGCCCAAAGACCAUUGAAAAAUGUCCCCAGGAAAUAAUGACAAAUACGUAUUUGUGAAUGGGCUCAUCAACAGCGCACUGGACCACCCAGCUAGAGGCCUUGAAUUUCUGCAUCGCUGGAAGUGUCACACUGGUACACACAGCUCAGGAAGCUGAACAGAAAACCUGGACAACAAGGCUACAUGCAAUUCGCAUCCAUCCUUUGGUUAUCAACCCAAAUAUGAUGAUGGAAUCCAUCAUUCCUAUAACGACUGUUUCUCAAAGCUGAAAAGAUCAAAAUCUCACCUCGUUACCCACAGCAUUACACUUCGGAACCAAACUUAUAUUUGGUAAAAGAUAAAAUUUAACCAGAAACAACAGGCAAAGAGUUCGCAGUGGUAUAAGAAAGCUCAAAGCCAUGGAAAAGAGCUGGUUAACAGGCUGACAGGUAGCAAGGCAUGGCAUGGACGGACAUGCUAGAAAAAAAUUCCAAGGAAACUAAUUAUACUUACUGAUAUCAGUUGCUAUUUUUUGAGGGUUUGUUCUGAAAAUAACCACCAAUUAUACAGUAUGUAUUACAUUCCAAGGACUAUGCUAAACACUUUACACAUAAUAAGGUAAUCAACCCCUCCAGACGACACUAGGAGGUAGAUACUACAAUAGGUCUCAGAUCACAUGGGGUUUUACUAAUAGGUCCAAAGACACACAACCCAUGAGUGAAGGCCCCUGGACUUGAACCUGGGCAGCCUGGCUCAUGGAAUUUGUGUUCUUCACUUUGCCUCUCCAUUUUGUGCUAACGUCUAUGCUAAAAUUUUACCUUCGGAGUUCCCUUCAUGGCUCAGCGGUUAACGAACCUGACUAGGAUCCAUGAGGACGCGGGUUCGAUCCCUGGCCUCACUCGGUGGUUUAGGGAUCCAGCAUUGAGCUGUGGUGUAGGUCACAGACACGGCUUAGAUCCCUCGUUGCUGUGGCUGUGGCGUAGGCUGGCAGCUGUAGCUCUGAUUCGACCCCUAGCCUGGGAACUUCCAUAUGCCACAGGUGUGGCCCUAAAAAGCAAAAAAAUAAAAAAUAAAAAAAUAAAAUGUUACCUUCAUCAUCUCAUUCAACCAACGUUUAAAACCAUCUGCAGAGGUAACAGAAGAGGAAACUGAAGCUUAGAGAGGUGAAGUGAGUAGCCUGGGAAGUGGUAGAGAGGGUUUCAAAGCCAAGUCAGCCUGACUGUUAAAACCCCUCUGUGCGGCCUCCUCCCGCCCCUUCUCCCUUUCCCGACACCCUUCCCCUGGGGGAGGCGAGGUUACUGCCCCUUGGCUGCCCACCCUCACUGCCCUCCCUACAGCCCACAUCAAAUUAACUUCUCCUUCCAACACCUUUCCCUCAGCUAUGUGAAAAAGGAAAUGCAAGAAUCUCAGGGAACAUUGUGGAAAUAUUUUUUGACUCGGAGGCUCUCCUUCUUAUAGACCAUGGAUUGUAUCCCCUGAGGAGUCAUCUUGAUCUAUGAACAAAGAUGGCCAACCACUCACUAUAGGCCACAUACGGCCUGUGAGAUCUCUGACAAGUACCAUCACUGUACCUCAGUUUCCAAGUUGUGCAAAAGGGGCUAAAAAUAUACCUACCUCUUGGGGUGUGAGAGGAUUCCCUGAGCUACAUUCAGAAAGCAGUGCUUAGAAAAGUUACCGACACAAGGUAAGUGUUAAGUAAGUGUUUGCUAUUAUUAUCAUGAUUAUUAAAUACCCUACUCACUGCCCUGGCAAGAAGUGAGGAGCUGGGCUUCCUCCCCUUCCCCCAACUCCACUCUCAAACUCCUGUCAUUCUAGAAACAUCUCGUGACACUGGUUUUCAAGAAACCUUGUUUUCUGCCUCAUGGAGUGGAGAAUUUCGGUUGAUUUAGUAAUACCUGCUAUUUCUACAGUGUUUUUUCUUCCUUAAAAGACCUCUGCACAACUAACAAUUCUUUCCGUGACACUAAACAAAGAAAGAUUCUUGAACGGGAAAUUUCUGAAAGAAAUGUCGUGGGCUUCAUUUUCAGAAAUGGCCUAGCUGGUUCAAGUCUGCUUACUGCGAGAAAUAGGACACAAACUACCACAAAACAAGCACUUCCAUGGUAGGAGAAAAUGCACUUUGUUCAAAUGCAAAAACAAAACGGAAAAAAAGCUGUUUAACCUUUACCAGCAUUUGAGAGUAAAUUUGCACUAUUCUGAAUGCUUUGCAUGCUGCUUCUUAGGCUUCUUUUAAAAGAAAUUUCAUAGAAGGAAAAGAAAGAGGACGUACCAAUAAAAAAAAAAAAAAAACAGCAUCCCUUGCUUAUCUCACUCCCACUGCGGAGACUUAGCAGAAUUAGACUGCUAAGCAAUGUAUCCCAUCUCCUUGCAGGACCCACUGACAAUCUACAUGUCUUGAUAGAAACAUCCAUGUUACCUCCUUUUUUCAGGAGGCUCUUCAUCUUCCUUAUUCAGAAUCUAUUUCCCAAGCCAUGAAUUUUAAACUAGUCACACUUAACUCUUUCCUUACUUUGUGCACUGAGAAAAUUUUGUAACAUGGGCAAGAACUGCAUGCUGCUCCCUGCAGCUUCAGGAACACCUGAAUUACACGCUUCCAAAAUAAUUCAUUGCAAUAACUCACAAUGCUGCGGCCCUUUGCAACUUCAAAUCAAAGGAUUUGCUCAGGAAAUUAUGAAGGAAACCAGACGAGUGGUUAAACACCUGCAUGGUCAGAGAUGAAGGGGGUUUCCUAAGGAGGUAUCAUAAGGCUCCCUGCUUCCUGUGAGCUUUGAAGACAAGCGAUCCGGUCCUUUGUGGUGAACGACCUAAUAUCUGGCUCACAGUGACUCCCCUCAACUUACCAGUCUGACUAAAAGACCAGCUUUUGUACCUACAUGCCUUUUCUUUCCAGAUGUCUGGUCUGUAUUUGACAUAAAAGACAUUGGGCUAUUUACAGCUGGGGGCCCCAUGAUUCUGCCCCAGUAAGACGGCCCCUUCUCAGAUGACUUCGCAGCAGGGUCUGUCUGGAGCCACAACCUCCGUGCUGUCAAUGACUCGCACAUGCCCUUGACUGUGCCCUUGUUUGCGUGGAGCAGACUGCCUUCCUUCAGCCAACAGUUCAACCACUGCUUUAACUUCUUGCUAUCACACAGCCUCUUCAAGGUGCAGGUAAGAAGAGCUGUGUCCAAAUCAGCAGAGCGUUGCUGCAUUUUCCUCAUUAGAUUGAAGGGUUAGGUUACCUAAUUAUGGGUCUCCAGAAGCCCGUGGUGGCCAGAGGCAUAAAGCUGAGCAGGAUUUGUGUUCCUGGUUGAAUCUAGAGAAAACAUAUACUCAUUUUGCAUUUUUAUCCCUGUGGCUUUCCUUGGUUCUAAGCAUUCUCUUUGAAGUCAGUGUUCUUCAGUUCAGAUGAUUAGCACAUUAUUUUAAUAAGAUCAAAGCCAUUAAUCUACUCAUUUAUCAGUUAAUGUCACUCAGCUCCAUGUCACAGACUAUACUAGUCUUAGUGAAUUGUCUCAGAAAUGACUCCAGGUUACCAAGACGACCAACUUAUGAAAAUGCAACUAAGCAUAAAUCCACCAUCCCAAGAGAUGAAACAAUUCAAAGCAUCUAUCCCAAAAUAAUGGGCAUUGUCAUGUGAAAACAGCGGCAUUGAAUAGAGAAGCAUCCCACUAAGAGUGCCGUUUCACCUAGUGUUUACACAGCUCCAAGCUAGCACCUGUGCUAAUACCUAAUAUCUGUAAUUAAUAGCUACAGUGUCAAAAGAUCAGAGUCUGAGGUUUACACAGUUAAUGACAUCAGCACAACCAAAGCCUCCAUGGAUUUCCUCUAAGGUCUUAAAGCAUAAAAUGCAAUGAAAUUGGCUUUGCCUCCAGAGUAAUUGUGGCAAAGUUUAGCAUGCCAUCAGAAUGUAUUAUAUUCAUAAACUGAGCAUGAAGGCUGUUCACCAAUAUAGAUCACUUUUAACAUGAAAAUAUAAAGAGCCUGAAGUCAGUAUUUCUCAUAUCCAAACAGCCAGAAGAGUGGAUGUUCUGGCCCAAGGGCAGAAUUCAUCCUGUCUCAGGGGUAGAUAUAUCCCCCAUAUGAGGACGAAUUAAUCAAGUUCCUUGUGGAUUAUCAAAUCACACAACUAACUCGCCUGGUUCUAAAUGGAAUCUUUGUGGCUUGUCCACAGGGAUAAGCCGCACUCAUGCGCUGAUACCAGCACUCAUAUAUUAACUGAAGUCAACAAACAAGCACAAGCCACCUAAUUCCGGUUUAAGAAUACAGUAUCCUUGUGGAGCUUGCAUUCUACACAGCCAUUGAUCAAAGAAUUACAUAAGCACAUAUGUAACCCCAGCUGUGAUAAAUACUAGGUAUGAAAGGUUUCUAGUCCUAAAAGAGCAGAAAAGAACCAGAAAAGAACCCCACUGGUAUUGUUAUUAUACUGAUCAAGUAGAAAUAAAUAUAAUAUUUAAUUUUCAGAAUUCUUGUGGGGAUUACAUUUGACCUAUACAGAAACAUAUUUUAAAACCAUACAUAUUUAGGUAAAAAUAAGGAUCAUUUCACCGUAAUGGAUAGGAUAGACUAAGCUAUGUGGCAGUAAUAAAUAAGAAAUAAAAUCUCAGUGACUAAAUACAGCAAAGGUUUAUUUCUCGCUCUGGCAAAGUCACUGGAAAGUCUGGAAGUUCUCCAGGGCAGCUCCCCUCAAGCAGAGAAUCAGGAAUGGAGUCCACUUGCAUCUUGGGCUUCCAACAUCUCAAGAUGUGGCUUCUAGAUCACCAUGGCAACAAAGACCCUCAGAGUGAGGGACCACAGAGCACUAGCUCUUAAAUGUUUCCCCUUCUCACAAAGGCCCUAGUACAUGUGAGAGAGAACAUGGAUAUCCAGUAAAUAUUGCCAGGAGUGGGAAGAGCAUGGUUGUUGAACAAGUCAUCCAAAUUUUCUGAGACCAUUUUCUCAUUGAUCAAGUGGAAAGGGUGAGUCACACUUCCUCACAUGGUUGUGACUAAUGUAAAGACCUUAUACACUUCCAGGAGCCAUAGAAAAGGCUGUUACAGCUAUGCCUGCCACAACCACAAUGACACCAAUGCCAAAGGGAAGAAUAAAAAUGAAAAAUGACACUGAAGAAUGCCAGGCCUGGACUAGUUUCUGUCAAUGGAACAAGCCAGCCAGCUUGGCUGUGCACCUAAGAAUUGACAGCAUCCUAAAUCAUGUCACUUGGGGGCAGGGCGGAGUGUGAAAACAGCAUUGAAGCAAACCAGUAUAGACCCUGGUCCUCCCUGCUAACCUGAAAGGCAUAGUUUGACUUCUGGGUCACAGCACAUUGACCUAAUUUUCCAACUGAGCUAGUCUAAAAUUAUCUGAUUAGGUUAACGGACUUUUUUUUUUUUUCCUAAAGAAAGCUAAAUAUACCUAGUUACCUAAGUAUUUUCUUAUUCUGAAUCAUAUCAUCCCAGGUCAGAGAUGAGGUAUAUUACUUGUUUAACUGGCAUUAUUAGUCCCUGUUGGAGCAUUAUGGAGCCAAUGGCCCUGAUCUAAAUUACAGACCCUUCUUUACCUAACUAAAAACCAAGAAACCUAUAAAGAAGCAAUUCCUGGCUAUCAUUACGGCUCCCAGUUGUCUUUGCUAAGAUGGGAACUCAGGUGGUGUUUAUCUAUUUGAGAAAUGUUGUGCUUUUUUAUACUCUCCUAAGCAACCACUCUCAGCACCAAUAUAUCUGCUUAAUAUUCUCCCUUUAUUGCUUUGGUGAUAGAUGCAACCAUUAGGUGCACAGCAUGACAAAUGUAUAUGUGGGACCUUGUGC
rnacentral:lncRNA from 1 species